GCCAGUGUGGCAUAGUGGUUUGAGAGUUGGACUAUAGUCUCUGGAGACCAGAGUUCAAAUCCCUACUCAGCCA